rnacentral:rRNA from 1 species
CUCUCAAAACUGUGUAUCUUGAGUAGUGCAGAGGUAGGCGGAAUUCCCGGUGUAGCGGUGGAAUGCGUAGAUAUCGGGAGGAACACCAGUGGCGAAGGCGGCCUACUGGGCACCAACUGACGCUGAGGCUCGAAAGUGUGGGUAGCAAACAGGAUUAGAUACCCUGGUAGUCCACACCGUAAACGAUGAUUACUAGGUGUUGGAGGAUAGACCCCUUCAGUGCCGCAGUUAACACAAUAAGUAAUCCACCUGGGGAGUACGACCGCAAGGUUGAAACUCAAAGGAAUUGACGGGGGCCCGCACAAGCAGUGGAGUAUGUGGUUUAAUUCGACGCAACGCGAAGAACCUUACCAAGUCUUGACAUCCUCUGGCGAGUACAGAAAUGUGCUUUUCCUUCGGGACAGAGAGACAGGUGGUGCAUGGUUGUCGUCAGCUCGUGUCGUGAGAUGUUGGGUUAAGUCCCGCAACGAGCGCAACCCUUAUGGAUAGUUACUACGCAAGAGGACUCUAUUCAGACUGCCGUUGACAAAACGGAGGAAGGUGGGGAUGACGUCAAAUCAUCAUGCCCUUUAUGACUUGGGCUACACACGUACUACAAUGGCGUUCAACAAAGAGAAGCGAAGCCGCGAGGCAGAGCAAAACUCAAAAACAACGUCCCAGUUCAGAUUGCAGGCUGCAACUCGCCUGCAUGAAGUCGGAAUUGCUAGUAAUCGCAGAUCAGCAUGCUGCGGUGAAUACGUUCCCGGGCCUUGUACACACCGCCCGUCACACCAUGAGAGCCGGGGGGACCCGAAGUCGGCAGUCUAACCGCAAGGAGGACGCCGCCGAAGGUAAAACUGGUGAUUGGGGUGAAGUCGUAACAAAGGUAGCCGUAAAGCC